UAGCCGGCUGAGAAGGGUGACCGCCACACUGGACUGAGACACGCCCAGACUCCUACGGGAGGCAGCAGUGGGAUAUGCACAUGGCGCAGCUGAUGCAGCACGCGCGUGAGGGAUGACGCUUCGGGUGUAACCUCUUUUAGUAGGGAAGAAGCGAAAGUGACGGUACUGCAGAAAAAGCACCGGCUAACUACGUGCCAGCAGCCGCGGUAAUACGUAGGGUGCAAGCGUUAUCCGGAAUUAUUGGGCGUAAAGAGCUCGUAGGCGGUUUGUCGCGUCUGCUGUGAAAACUAGAGGCUCAACUUCUAGCUUGCAGUGGGUACGGGCAGACUAGAGUGCGGUAGGGGAGAUUGGAAUUCCUGGUGUAGCGGUGGAAUGCGCAGAUAUCAGGAGGAACACCGAUGGCGAAGGCAGAUCUCUGGGCCGUAACUGACGCUGAGGAGCGAAAGAGUGGGGAGCAAACAGGCUUAGAUACCCUGGUAGUCCACUCCGUAAACGUUGGGAACUAGUUGUGGGGGCCUUUCUACGGUCUCCGUGACGCAGCUAACGCAUUAAGUUCCCCGCCUGGGGAGUACGGCCGCAAGGCUAAAACUCAAAGGAAUUGACGGGGACCCGCACAAGCGGCGGAGCAUGCGGAUUAAUUCGAUGCAACGCGAAGAACCUUACCAAGGCUUGACAUAUACCGGAAACGGCUGGAAACAGUCGCCCCCUUGUGGUCGGUAUACAGGUGGUGCAUGGUUGUCGUCAGCUCGUGUCGUGAGAUGUUGGGUUAAGUCCCGCAACGAGCGCAACCCUCGUUCUAUGUUGCCAGCACGUUAUGGUGGGAACUCAUGGAAUACUGCCGGGGUCAACUCGGAGGAAGGUGGGGAUGACGUCAAAUCAUCAUGCCCCUUAUGUCUUGGGCUUCACGCAUGCUACAAUGGCCGGUACAAUGGGCUGCGAUACCGUGAGGUGGAGCGAAUCCCAAAAAGCCGGUCCCAGUUCGGAUUGUAGUCUGCAACUCGACUACAUGAAGUCGGAGUCGCUAGUAAUCGCAGAUCAGCAACGCUGCGGUGAAUACGUUCCCGGGUCUUGUACACACCGCCCGUCAAGUCAUGAAAGUCGGUAACACCUGAAGCCGGUGGCCUAACCCCUUGUGGGAGGGAAGCUUCGAAUGGUAGGAUUGUUG
rnacentral:rRNA from 1 species